rnacentral:rRNA from 1 species
UUCCGGUUGAUCCUGCCGGAGGCUACCGCUAUUGGAGUUCGAUUAAGCCAUGCGAGUCGCGAGUCUUAGGGACUCGGCGUACCGCUCAGUAACACGUGGGUAACCUGCCCUAUGCUGGGGGAUAACCUCGGGAAACUGAGAAUAAUACCCCAUAGUUCACCACGCCUGGAACGGUGGGUGGAUGAAAGCUCCGGCGGCAUAGGAUGGGCCUGCGGCGUAUCAGGUUGUAGGGGGUGUAAUGUACCCUCUAGCCAUCUACGCGUACGGGUGUUGGGAGACAUCGCCCGGAGAUGGAUUCUGAGACACGAAUCCAGACCCUACGGGGUGCAGCAGGCGCGAAAACUUGGCAAUGCGAGCAAUCGUGACCAGGGAACUCCAAGUGCAUCGGGUAAGACCGAUGCUUUUCUUGACUCUUCAAAGGUCUUGGAAUAAGGGGUGGGUAAGGACGGUGCCAGCCGCCGCGGUAAUACCGGCGCCUCAAGUGGUAGUCGCUUUUAUUGGGCCUAAAACGUCCGUAGCCGGUUUGGUACAUUCGUGGGUAAAUCAAGGCGCUCAACGUCUUGAAUUCUGCGAGCACGGCCAGACUUGGGACCGGGUGAGGUGUGGGGUACUCUCAGGGUAGGGGUAAAAUCCUGUCAUCCUGAGAGGACCACCUGUUGCGAAGGCGCCACACUAGAACGGAUCCGACGGUCAGGGACGAAGCCUAGGGGCACGAACCGGAUUAGAUACCCGGGUAGUCCUAGGUGUAAACGCUGUGGACUUGAUGUUGGGAGUGCUCCGAGCACCCUCAGUGUCGAAGCGAAGGUGAUAAGUCCACUGCCUGGGGAGUACGGUCGCAAGGCUGAAACUUAAAGGAAUUGGCGGGGGAGCACUGCAACCUGAGGAUUGUGCGGUUUAAUUGGAUUCAACGCCGGA